UACGUAGGGUGCUAGCGUUGUUCGGAAUCAUUGGGCGUAAAGCGCGUGUAGGCGGCCAGAUAAGUCCGCUGUGAAAUCUCGAGGCUCAACUUCGAGCUGUCGGUGGAAACUGUCUGGCUAGAGUACGGAAGAGGCAAGUGGAAUUCCUGGUGUAGCGGUGGAAUGCGCAGAUAUCAGGAGGAACACCUAUAGCGAAGGCAGCUUGCUGGGACGUUACUGACGCUAAGGCGCGAAAGCGUGGGGAGCGAACGAGG
rnacentral:rRNA from 1 species